rnacentral:rRNA from 1 species
GAUGAACGCUGGCGGCGUGCCUAAUACAUGCAAGUCGAACGCUGAAGGAUGAUCUUGCUCUUCUGUAUGAGUUGCGAACGGGUGAGUAAUGCGUAGUUAACCUUCCUCGUAGCGGUGGAUAACUAUUACUAACGAUAGCUACUACUGCAUGACAACAUUUAUUGCAUGAUUACUGUUUAAUUGGGGCAUCUGCUCCACUACCAGAUUGACCUGCGUUGUAUUAGCUAGUUGGUUAGGUAACGGCUCACCAAGGCGACGAUACCUAGACGAACUGAGAGGGUGGUAGGCCACACUGGGAGUGAGACACGGCCCAGACGACUACGGGAGGCAGCAGUAGGGAAUCGUCGGCAAUGGACGGAAGUCUGGACGAGCAACGGCGAGUGAGUGGAGGAGGUUUUCGGAUCGGAAAGAUCUGUUGUAAGAGGAGAACGAGUGUGAGAGUGGAAAGUGCACAAUGUGACGGUAUCUUAACAGAAAGGGACGGCUAACUACGUG